ACGCUAGCUUUGGGUGUAAUAUACGUGACUGGCAGUCUAUCUGCAUAUUAUUAGUCCCAAUGCCUAGAGGGUCGUGGACAAUCCUGAUAGCCAUCGUUCCUGGGCAACCCGGGAUGACAUCAGUUGGAGUGAAGGGUUGGAUGGGCCUUACGAGGUCCUGAGUGGAGUGAUUGGUGGGACGAGCUUAAAGCUCUUAUGAGGAGCUAUGGGGAUCGAAGAGGUGUGUUGGCUAGAUAGGUACAGUUUUGGAUUCUAUUGAUGGGUUCAGUGCGCGGAGGUCUCGGACAGUUUUGGAGGAGAUGAACUAUAAGUUUUAUUUCAGUUUCUAAUUGCUAUUUGGUUUAAGCUGAAUUGUAAAAGAUUUAUAAGACGGUGGUACAAUUUUUCAUUAUAUGUUUUAUUUCUGAUAUCUUUACAGAAGGGAUUUUAAACGUUUUUGA